AGAGAUGUGUGAUGACGCAUAUCAAUAAGCGGAGGAAAAGGAAACUAACAAGGAUUCCCUUAGUAACGGCGAGUGAAGCGGGAAGAGCUCAAAUUUGAAAUCUUCAAGGUUCUACCUUGACGAAUUGUAGUUUAUAGAAGUGUUUUCUGUUAGUAGAGUGGCAAAAGUUCUUUGGAAUAGGACAUCAUAGAGGGUGAGAAUCCCGUAUUUGGUCAUUCUUCUAGCUUUGUGAUACAGCUUUCAACGAGUCGGAUUGUUUGGGAAUGCAGUCCAAAAUGGGUGGUAAAUUUCAUCUAAAGCUAAAUAUUGGCGAGAGACCGAUAGCGAACAAGUACCGUGAGGGAAAGAUGAAAAGAACUUUGAAAAGAGAGUUAAACAGUACGUGAAAUUGUCAAAAGGGAAGCGUUUGACACCAGUGUUGUUUUUCCGAAAAUCAAUUACGAAUGUUUUAGUUUUUGAGAAGUUAUGACUUCAUCGGCUUGCUUCUCUCUUUACUGAAACUUUCUUAAUGCACUUUUCGGUUAACAAGUCAACAUCAAUUUCUUUUGUUGUAAAAGGGUACUGAGGAAGGUGGCUUUCUUUUCGGAGAAAGUGUUUAUAGCCUUGUACCUCUGCAAUCGGAGAGAUUGAGGUCUGCAGCGUAGAUCCUUCGGGGUUAGAUACAUUUGUGCUAAGUUAUAGCUUUUCAUAGACAACUUGUUGACUAUGUUAAGUCUUGUAGCUUACUCGCUUAUGCUAUUUUACCUACGCUUAGGAUGUUGAUCUGUAGUGCGUGCGC
rnacentral:rRNA from 1 species